rnacentral:rRNA from 1 species
CCUAACACAUGCAAGUCGAGCGGUAGAGAGAAGCUUGCUUCUCUUGAGAGCGGCGGACGGGUGAGUAAUACCUAGGAAUCUGCCUGAUAGUGGGGGAUAACGUUCGGAAACGGACGCUAAUACCGCAUACGUCCUACGGGAGAAAGCAGGGGACCUUCGGGCCUUGCGCUAUCAGAUGAGCCUAGGUCGGAUUAGCUAGUUGGUGAGGUAAUGGCUCACCAAGGCUACGAUCCGUAACUGGUCUGAGAGGAUGAUCAGUCACACUGGAACUGAGACACGGUCCAGACUCCUACGGGAGGCAGCAGUGGGGAAUAUUGGACAAUGGGCGAAAGCCUGAUCCAGCCAUGCCGCGUGUGUGAAGAAGGUCUUCGGAUUGUAAAGCACUUUAAGUUGGGAGGAAGGGCAGUUACCUAAUACGUGAUUGUCUUGACGUUACCGACAGAAUAAGCACCGGCUAACUCUGUGCCAGCAGCCGCGGUAAUACAGAGGGUGCAAGCGUUAAUCGGAAUUACUGGGCGUAAAGCGCGCGUAGGUGGUUUGUUAAGUUGAAUGUGAAAUCCCCGGGCUCAACCUGGGAACUGCAUCCAAAACUGGCAAGCUAGAGUAUGGUAGAGGGUAGUGGAAUUUCCUGUGUAGCGGUGAAAUGCGUAGAUAUAGGAAGGAACACCAGUGGCGAAGGCGACUACCUGGACUGA